rnacentral:sRNA from 1 species
GUUCAAAGAACGCAGACUAAGGGCGCCACGUCCUGUGGCAACGUCUGCAUGACCCGCAACCUGCGGG